rnacentral:tRNA from 1 species
AUAUUACUUUGUAAUAUCUUUGUAAUAUCUUUUAAUUUUUUUAAUUGACAUAGACCCAAGUCCUAUAUUAAAAUAAAAUGAGGAUGAUGCGUCGUGAAUGGUCGGGAUAGCUCAGCUGGUAGAGCAGAGGACUGAAAAUCCUCGUGUCACCAGUA